ACGGGAGGCAGCAGUGGGGAAUAUUGCACAAUGGGGGAAACCCUGAUGCAGCGACGCCGCGUGAGUGAAGAAGUAUUUCGGUACGUAAAGCUCUAUCAGCAAGGAAGAAAAUGACGGUACUUGACUAAGAAGCUCCGGCUAAAUACGUGCCAGCAGCCGCGGUAAUACGUAUGGAGCAAGCGUUAUCCGGAUUUACUGGGUGUAAAGGGAGCGUAGACGGCAAAGCAAGUCUGAAGUGAAAUCCCGGGGCUCAACCCCGGAACUGCUUUGGAAACUGUUUAGCUAGAGUGCAGGAGAGGUAAGCGGAAUUCCUAGUGUAGCGGUGAAAUGCGUAGAUAUUAGGAGGAACACCAGUGGCGAAGGCGGCUUACUGGACUGUAACUGACGUUGAGGCUCGAAAGCGUGGGGAGCAAACAGGAUUAGAUACCCUGGUA
rnacentral:rRNA from 1 species